AUACUAGCCUGGGUAGAAUUGUGGUGUAAAAACAAGACAAAAAGGAACCCCUGUUCCUCUGUCAGUUUAACAUCUGGGUUGUGCUGACCCCUGCGAAUUCCCCAAAUGUGGGAAUCUCGACUGCAUAAUUUAUGGUAGUGGGGGACUGCGUUCGCGCUCUCCCCUG